rnacentral:rRNA from 1 species
GGGGAAUAUUGGACAAUGGACGAAAGUCUGAUCCAGCUACGCCGCGUGGUGGAAGAAGUCCUUCGGGAUGUAAACUCAUGAAGCUAACGAAUAAGACGGUAGGGGAACCUUCCGGGAGAAGUUAAUUAGUGAAAAGCCCCGGCUAACUACGUGCCAGCAGCCGCGGUAAUACGUAGGGGGCGAGCGUUGCUCGGAAUUACUGGGCGUAAAGGGAACGUAGGUGGCUCUUAAAGUCAGGUGUGAAAAUAACGAAGCUUAACAGGUUAAUGCGCUUGAAACUAAAGGGCUUGAGGGCAAUAGAGGGAGAUGGAAUUACCUGUGUAGGGGUGAAAUCCGCAGAUAUAGGUAAGAAGGCCGGUGGGGAAGCCGAUCUCCUGGGUUGACUCUGACACUGAGGUUCGAAAGCUAGGGGAGCAAACC